AGUCGAACGGAAUAAUGACUUCGGUUGUUAUUUAGUGGCGGAAGGGUUAGUAAUACAUAGAUAAUCUGUCCUCAACUUGGGAAUAACGGUUGGAAACGACCGCUAAUACCGAAUGUGGUAUGUUUAGGCAUCUAAAACAUAUUAAAGAAGGGGAUCUUCGGACCUUUCGGUUGAGGGAGAGUCUAUGGGAUAUCAGCUUGUUGGUGGGGUAAUGGCCUACCAAGGCUUUGACGUCUAGGCGG
rnacentral:rRNA from 1 species